rnacentral:tRNA from 1 species
GUGGCUCAAUGGUAGAGCACUUGCCUGAUAUGUGUGAGGUCCUGAGUUCAAUCCUCAGUACCA